GGCCGCCGCGCGCCGCCCCAGCCCGCGCAGCCCCGGCCGCGCCCGCCCCGUCCCAUCGCGCCCCUACUCGGCGCCGCUGUUCUCAGGUCGGCAGCCUCCGGGGCGCAGCGGGGAGGUGCGGAGGGUAGGGACCGCGGGCCGGCCGGCGCCCAGCGCCGGAGACGGGGAGCGCUGGGGAAAGCAGCGCCUUCCUUGCGCGCAGGGGACCCGGGAGCGCAGCGGGCGCGGGGCGCCGCGGGGCGCGGGGCGCGGGGCAGCGGGCGCGGGGCGGCGGCGGCCCCGGGCGGCUCUCCCACUAGGGGUAGCUGUUGCCUGAACGCCGGAGCGCUCCCCUCUCGCCGCUCGUCUCGCACGGCGCGGCCCCGGCCGCCGGGCGCACCCGUCCCGUGCGUCCCCGGACGUUGCUCUCUGCCCCGGGAACGUCGAGACUGGAGCGCCCGAGCUGAGCCACCUUCGCCGACCCCGAGCGCUGCGGCCCGACUCACCGCGGCGGCGCCCGGACGCGUAAAAGUCGUGUUUGAAAAGCCACUCUCCUCUCAGGAUGCUGCCCUGCCAAGCAGCUGCCCACAGCUUCUGAGCAACAUCCAAACCGCUUGGCCUGGCCUUCGAGGCCGCCAGGUGGGGCCUCCGCCUCCUGCCCCUGCCCAACCCUGACCCCGCGCUCCAGCCAUGGGAACAUCCGCCACAACCCCACCGAAUGCCAGGCCCUUCCGCGGCCGCCGCCCCCCGCAGGCCUUCGAGGAGCUGUGGCCAUCAGCCUUUCAACGAGGGGUCAGCCGAGGCUCGGGGAAGCGGGCGCCUUGCUCCGCCGACUGUGUCAGGACUUGGACCUGGGUCCUCUGGCUGCAAAACCAGGCUCUUCACACUGAACCAUAAUUUCUCCACACUUGCUCCAUCGGCUAGUCCACCACCUUUUCUGGAACUCUUUUCCAUCUCAGCUUCCCAAACUCUAGUUGUCCUUCAAGGCUUGGCCCAGAUGUUGCCUCCCCCAGGCAGCCUCCUCAGACUACUUGCCAGAUCACCUCUCUCCUCCCCUUGCAGUCUGCCAUUGCCUUGACCUUGGUUCACCGAAGUCCUGGGGGGGAGGGGAGAUUGUGUUCCAGUGGCAGAGAUUGCUAGUUGCCCCCAAUAUCCAUUAUCCUCUCUUCCUAAAGCAAAAGAAACGUCAAAUUUGAGUUGGGCACAUGACUGUCCGUUCAAGUUCUUAGCCUCCUUUGCAGCUACAUGUAGCUGUUUGACUAAAUCCUUGCCAAUGACAUGUGACCUGUGAAACCUCUGGGUCCUGCCUCCAGAAGGAAGAGACAUGGCUUCCCCUUCUUCUUCUUUCUGUUUGCACUGCUGCAUGACAGAGGUGAUGGCAGGAGCUGGAGCAGCCAUAUUAACUAUGGGUAGGAGCUGGGUGUUGAGGAUCACAGAGCAACAAGGUAGAAAGAACCUGGGUCACCACCACAUUGGCCUAGACUGCUAAAGCUCAGACUGUUACAUGAGAGAGGGGAAAAAAUCCCCUUUGAUCUCAUUUAAUUCAGUGUUAGUUUGGCAUUUGUUAUAGCAGCCAAACUGUAUCCUAAUUAGUACUGACUCAGACUGAGAAGUUGAUUAACUGUUUGCAGAAUGGCUAAGGGAUUACUAACCAGAAGCCAGUGAGCUUUUCAGAGCACAUGGCACUCUGGGGUCACGGAAGGGGUGUGUCCAUGGGUUUCAGUGCUGGCCCACGUCAUAACUGUGGCUCCUUGGGCAAGCUACAUAAUGGCUCAGUGGCUCACAGGCCUCUUCUGUGACACGUGGGUGACAGUCCGCCCUGCAGAGUGAGGCUGAGAUGAGAUGACCC
rnacentral:lncRNA from 1 species